GACCUCCGAUAUUACGCCCUUUUGGGGAGUGAAGACCAAAGGAAAUUAGCGGCCAGCAGUAUAUCCCUGCUGCUGGCCCUUUCACGAAGAUUCCCGAACCUCAGAAACACAGUAAUUCGGCCGGAGCUGGCGUGCUUCAGAAAUAAUCUGAAAGAAGAUGACAUCAUCAUUGAGGAGUUGUGAUUUUCCUCCUUGAAGGAAUUGCUGCUCUAUUUGGACAUCUCAACUGGCCAAAGACUGGCAGAAGAAGAGGCACU